rnacentral:rRNA from 1 species
UACCCGCAGCACAAGUGGUGGUCAUUAUUAUUGGGCCUAAAGCGUCCGUAGCUGGUUUGUUAAAUGCCUGGGUAAAUCGAUGCGCUUAACGUAUCGAACUCCGGGUAGACUGGCAAACUCGAGACCGGGAGAGGUGUAGGCUACUCGCGGGGUAGGGGUAAAAUCCUGUAAUCCUGCGGGGAGGACCAGUGGCGAGGCGCUACACUAGAACGGCUCUGACAGUGAGGGACGAAGCCCUGGGGCGCAAACCGG